GAGGAAUAUUGGGCAAUGCCCGCAAGGGUGACCCAGCAACGCCGCGUGGAGGAUGAAUGUCGUAAGAUUGUAAACUCCUGUUAGAGGGGAAGAAUAGUACCGGUUGGACCGGUAUAUGACUGUACCCUCAGAGAAAGCCCCGGCUAACUACGUGCCAGCAGCCGCGGUAAUACGUAGGGUGCAAGCGUUAAUCGGAAUUACUGGGCGUAAAGCGUGCGCAGGCGGUUUUGUAAGACAGAGGUGAAAUCCCCGGGCUCAACCUGGGAACUGCCUUUGUGACUGCAAAGCUGGAGUGCGGCAGAGGGGGAUGGAAUUCCGCGUGUAGCAGUGAAAUGCGUAGAUAUGCGGAGGAACACCGAUGGCGAAGGCAAUCCCCUGGGCCUGCACUGACGCUCAUGCACGAAAGCGUGGGGAGCAAACA
rnacentral:rRNA from 1 species